rnacentral:snRNA from 1 species
UUAGAAGAUUUUUAUACAGGUCAG